UCACAGAAAGGUGGGAGGACAGGACAUCUCUCUCCUCCGGGAUUUGGUUAGAUCACCUAACUCUAAAGGCUGCCUCACAGAACUCAUCUAGUCUCCCCUGGAUUGGGCUCCAGUAUGCUCUUCUGGGUCUGACUGGGGCUGAGGAAGGAAAGGAGGAGUGUAGAAGAGAGGAAGACACAGCACCCUGACACUGAGGUCCACUACCCAGGAGGAAACACAUGUCUGGUCCUGUAAAUCUAGGCAUGAAACCAUGAUUGGAGAACUCACAGAUCCCAGGGGUGAACCUUCUCCUAUUGUUCUGCUAAAUGGUCACAGUAUCAAACUGCCCUCUGAAGUCAUCUACAUUGACAGGCCCUGCAACUGCUGAAGAAUCUGACAACGUCCAGGGACAGACCCGGAGAGGGAGGUUUCAGAGUCCAUUUCUGGUAGAUUGAGUUACCUCAUCUUCCCACCACACUCUCUGUGAAUGAACCACAAAUUUCACAGAUAACUGUGCCAUGAGAAUGUGCGGCUGGAUGGGAAUUCUGCCCCCUGCUCCCUGUGCAUUAUCUAACCGAUUUUUUGUAUCAACACAGUACAAAUGAAUAAUUAACAAAUGGCAGGUGUGGGAUUCAAAUCCAGGUGUGUCUUGUUCUACUGUAUAAUUACUUCACAGUGAACUUCUAUACCAUCGGCCAAUCUUUAUCACCAAGUAAAGGAUGAUCUUUGUAUCCAUCCAUGAUCCUUUCUGAAGUUUCAGCCUCUAAUAAUUGCGGCAGUCUUUGUCAUUUGUAAAAGAUACUGUCUUAGUCAGGGUUUCCACU
rnacentral:sRNA from 1 species